GUUGAACGCUGGCGGCAGGCCUAACACAUGCAAGUCGAGCGGAUGAGGGGUGCUUGCACUCUGAUUCAGCGGCGGACGGGUGAGUAAUGCCUAGGAAUCUGCCCGAUAGUGGGGGACAACGUUUCGAAAGGAACGCUAAUACCGCAUACGUCCUACGGGAGAAAGUGGGGGAUCUUCGGACCUCACGCUAUCGGAUGAGCCUAGGUCGGAUUAGCUAGUUGGUGAGGUAAUGGCUCACCAAGGCGACGAUCCGUAACUGGUCUGAGAGGAUGAUCAGUCACACUGGAACUGAGACACGGUUCAGACUCCUACGGGAGGCAGCAGUGGGGAAUAUUGGACAAUGGGCGAAAGCCUGAUCCAGCCAUGCCGCGUGUGUGAAGAAGGCCUC
rnacentral:rRNA from 1 species